rnacentral:rRNA from 1 species
UUAAAGAGUUCUAUAACUCCCAAACCCAUGUGAACAUACCUAACGUUGCCUCGGCAGGUCGCACCUACCUUGUAGCACCCUACCCUGUAGGGCCUACCCGGGAGGUGCGGGUAAGCCUGCCGGCGGCCCACCAAACUCUGUUUGAUAUUGAAUUCUGAACCUAUAACUAAAUAAGUUAAAACUUUCAACAACGGAUCUCUUGGUUCUGGCAUCGAUGAAGAACGCAGCGAAAUGCGAUAAGUAAUGUGAAUUGCAGAAUUCAGUGAAUCAUCGAAUCUUUGAACGCAUAUUGCGCCCAUUAGUAUUCUAGUGGGCAGGACCGUUCGAGCGUCAUUUCAACCCUUAAGCCUUCGUUGCUUAGUGUUGGGAGCCUACGGCAACGUAGCUCCUCAAAGUUAGUGGCGGAGUUGGUUCACACUCUAGACGUAGUAAUUUUUUAUCUCGCCUAUUAGUUGGACUAAUCCCCUGCCGUAAAACCCCUAAUUUAUCAAGGUUGACCUCGAAUCGGUUCAGACAAACUCGCUAAAUUGAAGCAUCUUAGUCAGCGAAGGAAAAGAAACCAACAGGGAUUGCCCUAGUAACGGCGAGUGAAGCGGCAAC